GUCAGCUUUCAGUAUAAUCUUUUCUUCCUGCAGGCCCUAGAGAUUUGGUCUGCUCACCUUUCUUCUUUCAGGCUGUCACCACCAAUUCUCCUUCCUAUGGUUCAUCUUCCACCAGAAUUCUAGGGCUUGUAAAUGCUCCAAUUUAUCUUCCUAUAGCUGAUGCUUGAAAGAGAGUAAAAGAUAUUACAGAAGAUCACACAUAUCAAGUUUUACAUUUUAAGAAAUAAAUGGAAGAAGAGA